rnacentral:lncRNA from 1 species
CUUGAGUGAGGCUGUGGGCCUUCCAGGCAGCAGCACAGGUAUCAAAGACCCCUGCUCCUGUAUUACUGAAGAACAGUAUUACCUCUUUGUAAUUCAAGUGCUUCCUCUGGAUCUAAAAGAUGGGAGCAAUACUGAACAGGCACUACUUGAGGUGAGAGGUCUGAAGGAAAUAGGAGAGGCUACACUGGCACUCUGUGAGAGCUCUGCUGUGCUAUGGCUGCUCAUUGAAACAGAUGAGAACACUCAACAUUCGCUUACCGCCUUUGAUCUUUCUUUGCAGGUAAUUUAUAUGAGUGGUUCUGGCUUUUGUGUGCUCCUGAGCAUGACACUGACAGGCAAAGGAGCUCAGACUGCAGGCUGGCUGUUUAUGGCACUGAAGACAAAGAAAGCUCCGAAAAAAGGCUCCAGGGCCGCUGAGUAUGAAAAUGACAGAAAUCAUCUGUGUGUGGG